rnacentral:rRNA from 1 species
GACGUAGGGCGCGAGCGUUGUCCGGAUUUAUUGGGCGUAAAGAGCUCGUAGGCGGCUUGUCGCGUCGACUGUGAAAACCCGCGGCUCAACUGCGGGCCUGCAGCCGAUACGGGCAGGCUAGAGUUCGGUAGGGGAGACUGGAAUUCCUGGUGUAGCGGUGAAAUGCGUAGAUAUCAGCAGGAACACCCGUGGCGAAGGCGGCUUCCUGGGCCGCCCCUGACGCUGAGGCGCGAAAGCGUGGGGAGCGAACAGG